rnacentral:rRNA from 1 species
AUUGAACGCUGGCGGCAGGCUUAACACAUGCAAGUCGAGCGGAGAUGAGGUGCUUGCACCUUAUCUUAGCGGCGGACGGGUGAGUAAUGCUUAGGAAUCUGCCUAUUAGUGGGGGACAACAUUCCGAAAGGAAUGCUAAUACCGCAUACGUCCUACGGGAGAAAGCAGGGGAUCUUCGGACCUUGCGCUAAUAGAUGAGCCUAAGUCGGAUUAGCUAGUUGGUGGGGUAAAGGCCUACCAAGGCGACGAUCUGUAGCGGGUCUGAGAGGAUGAUCCGCCACCCUGGGACUGGGACACGGCCCAGACUCCUACGGGAGGUAGCAGUGGGGAAUAUUGGACAAUGGGGGGAACCCGGAUCCAGCCAUGCCGCGUGUGUGAAGAAGGCCUUAUGGUUGUAAAGCACUUUAAGCGAGGAGGAGGCUACUGAGACUAAUACUCUUGGAUAGUGGACGUUACUCGCAGAAUAAGCACCGGCUAACUCUGUGCCAGCCGCCGCAGUAACAC